AUGACUCAGGGUUACUUGGCACUGGCAUUUCCCCAGACUCUGGAUAUGCAGUUAACACAAGUCCGCCAGAAGGUAGGGCUAAGCCAGUUGCUGCACUUCCUGGCUGUGCAGGAGAAUUCUGAAUGUGAGAACCUGGCGGCCGUUCAACGACCCCGCCCUCAGGGUCCCCAGGGGGCGUCCUCUGGCGAGCCUGAUUGUCUGGGGCGAAGGCACAGGGCUAGCAGCGAGGGAGGAGGAGAACCAGGGCCGCCGGCCCCGAAAACACACACAAAGCGGCCUGACUCUCCUUUGAUCUUUUGCCACAAGCAGGCUGAUGUUGCCAUCGGAAGACUGGGUGAAAAAUGUGUUGGCGAGUGUGUGAUUUGUGACUCCUGUGUGUGUCCCUGCACUUUGAUGAUGUGAUGAGUGUAACUAUGGAUCUUACCAGGGGCACCGUGUGAUCCGUGGAGGUCUUGGAGUCUCUGGUGCCUAUUAUUGUAAGGAGUGCACCAUCCAGGAGAAGGACAGAGAUGGCUGCCCAAAGAUUGUCAAUUUGAGGAGCUCUAAGAUCUCUUCUAUGAACGCAAAAAAUAUGGCUUCAAGAAGAGGUGAUUGGUGGGUGGCCCCUUCCUCCCCCCCACAUCAAGCUGCUACAGCUGCCAGAAAAGAUGCCUACUACUACCAGCAGAAAGGGAGCGGAGCCCAGAGCAUCACCAGGAGUGUCUGCUAGUGUACUGGCACUUUGCCACCUCCUCCUCUCCCUUCACCUAGACACGUGGUAGGGAUGGAAAAGGAUUCUUCACAGAGCACUCUGGCACACUGUAUCAGAGAAAAAUUGAUAGAUUCGUUAAUGGUUUUUCUUGAAUUCGAGAAGCAAAGAUCUGUUCUCCAUAUUGAUAUGUUCUCCCUCAACCAAGAUCUUCUAAAAAGAAAUAAUAUUUUAAUCUUUGCUUGAGGAGUUGACUGUGAAGCUACGCCCAGUGAAAAGUAUGUUCUUGCAGCAGCUCUGGUGGCAGCUGUCCUUGAGGAACCUUCGGUGUGUGGUGGGAAGCUAUCAGAAUAAGAAAUGUAG